rnacentral:rRNA from 1 species
AUUGAACGCUGGCGGCAUGCUUUACACAUGCAAGUCGAACGGCAGCGCGGGCUUCGGCCUGGCGGCGAGUGGCGAACGGGUGAGUAAUGCAUCGGAACGUGCCCAGUAGUGGGGGAUAGCCCGGCGAAAGCCGGAUUAAUACCGCAUACGACCUGAGGGUGAAACCGGGGGACCGAAAGGCCUCGCGCUAUUGGAGCGGCCGAUGUCGGAUUAGCUAGUUGGUGGGGUAAAGGCUUACCAAGGCGACGUUCCGUAGCUGGUCUGAGAGGACGACCAGCCACACUGGGACUGAGACACGGCCCAGACUCCUACGGGAGGCAGCAGUGGGGAAUUUUGGACAAUGGGGGCAACCCUGAUCCAGCCAUGCCGCGUGCGGGAAGAAGGCCUUCGGGUUGUAAACCGCUUUUGUUCGGGAAGAAAUCCUCUGGGCUAAUACCCCGGGGGGAUGACGGUACCGGAAGAAUAAGCACCGGCUAACUACGUG